rnacentral:lncRNA from 1 species
AGCUUGAUUCCAUUUCUCUGCAGACAGGCUGAUCCUAUUGCGGAAGAGGGACCAUGUGGUCUGCUGGUUAGAGAGAAGUCCUGGAAGCCCGAAUGGGCCCGCGUCUUAUAACAUAGCUGAGCAACUGACUCACUGCAUAGCCUAGGUUACAUCGCUUAACCUCAUGGGGCUUGUUGUCCACCCAGCUGGAAAAUGUGGUAAGAAGUGAGGUUGGACUGAAAAUCAUUUGUGGUGCAGCUGAGUUGUUUUUCCACAGGGUACAGGAGGAGACUGACAGGUCUGACUGAAGGCAAGCCCGGUGGACUCCAGUGGGUAAAGGUAGGCCUCAGAAGAUACAAUGAGAGUUGGUUCAGGCUGGCGCAAGUAUUCUAUAAAGAAAUCUUCUCCUCUCUGCUGAACUGACAUACAUGUAUUUCUACCUCUGUCCCCAUAUGGCCUCAGUCCAUAAUCCUAGUUCUUUGUAAACGGAUGUUGGUUGGAUGAAGAUUCCCAGUUCACAGCGACUGUCGCCCCGCGCAAGGCAAGUACUCGGCAUUAUCCCAUGUCUUCCUUGCUACAGGAAACAGCAGAAUCUCCAGGGACUUAGAGUUGGAGCGGCUCUGCUGAUUAAGAGCUAAGUUGGAAGGAAAUGAGAAGCAAGGCUAAGAAUUUACAUAAAACACUAUGAACCUGAAUGUAAAGAUGAUCAAUUAAAAGCUAGUAAGUGAAAAGAGAAAACACGUUGAUGAAGAGAAUGUUUAUCAUAAUAGAAAAUUGAAAAUUAAUUCUGCUUUGGGUAUUUGAAGACAUUAAAAGCUGUCCCAGAGAUGUUGGAUUCAGAUUCCAGGGUAUAGAGUUUCGAUUAUUUUGUCAGUGCAGAUAGGACUUUGAAGGUGAGACUUCUGAUAAAACCCACAAAAUUCCAGAUAGCGAUUUACUCUAAACUAUGAAGGGAAUUUCCAAAGGGCCUGGGAAACUGAUCAUUAUGCUUGAAUUGACUAUUUUAUUCCCAAGGUCAAUAAUACUUGGUUUUUGUUUAAAAUUGAUGGGAGGGGAGGGAGGGGAAGGGGGGAAGGGAAGGACAGCAGAAUAAAAUAGACAUAGUAUUGCUGUAUGUAUAUACGUGAUGUAUGACCAAUGUGAUUCUGCAACUGUACACUCAGAAAAAUGAGAAAUUAUACCCCACUUGAUUCAAAUGUAUGAUAUGUCAAGAUCAUUGUACUGUCAUGAGUAACGAAUAAAAAAUUUAUAUUUUAGUUAGGCUAGCCCUUAAUAGGUCAAGAGAGUUGUUUGGGGUCAAAUAAAUCAUUAGGUGGGGAGCAGAAAUAACAAGACAGAAGUGGUUGUUCACUGUCUAACUGCUGUCCACAAAUCUAUAGACACCAUCUGAAAGACUUGAGCAUUUUUAGCAUUUUUUUCGUCUUAUCACUCAUGAAAACUUUCAUCUUAUAACAGUGACUAAGAAGACCCUCAGUACCCAUUUGAAAUGUGUUCACUUCUUGGUGAUUCUGGACAGGUUUUCAGGAAUUGGCUCAAUGUUUGAAGCCCUUGAGUCUUCCAUAGGAGGGUAUGUGGUUCUAGCAUUACUUCCAAAGAAUUGAGAGGAAAACAUCGCCAGCAUCCUAGGGUUAAUGAAAUUAAUGGAAUGAUAAGAAAUUAAGAAUGAGAAUAAGAAGAUAAAUUCAAAAGAAACCACAAGAGCUGGGCCUGGUGGUGGCACAUGCCUGUAAUCCCAAUGGCUUGGGAGGCUGAGACAGGAGGAUCAUGAGUUCAAAGCCAGCCUCAGCAAAAUAAGCAACUCAGUAAGACCCUGUCUCUAAAUAAAAUACAAAAUAGGACCGGGGAUGUGGCUCAGUGGUUGAGUGCCUCUGAGUUCAAUCCCCCAUAUGCCCCUUCAAAAACAAUAAGUGAAAAAAUAAAUCCUUAAUAGUAGUAUAUUGAGCCUAACUUACCUGGUUUACUUAUGUGAUUGACAACUGCCUGUCAUUUGUUCUUUCAUUUAGCAAACAUUCACAUCUGACCAUCAACUUGCAAAGCCCUGCCAUAGGCACAGAUCAUAAUUUGAAGAUAACAGGUAACAUGGCAAUCUGAAAUACAUAACAUGUGUGCACAUGCACAAAACAUCUACAUUUCUUAUUAAUAUACACAUGCCAAGUUAGUACCUUAGAACAAAAUUUAAUGGGCAUUUAGCUUUUAAAAUGGGGGAAUAAUUUAUUUAAAUAAAAUACAAUUGAUAAGGAUAGAAAGAAUUCAUGACAAAAAUUGUACCAUAGAUAAACGACCAGAGGACUGAGAAUGCAAGGUAUAUUGUAGACAGUAGUAGGUGCAGGAAGGUCCAUUUAAGGAAAUGUAGGAUUCAAUAAUCAUAAAAAUAUUUGAAUUAAUUUCUUUUGAAAAAAUAAGAGACACAGAAUAGCCAAAGCAAUCCUUAGCAAGAAGAGUGAAGCAGGAGACAUCACAAUACCAGAACUUAAACUAUACUACAGAGACAUAGUAACAAAAAGGAUGCUAUUGGCACUAAAAUGGACACUAGACCAAUGGUAUACAAUAGAAAACACCGUGACAAAUCCAUAUGAAUACGGUUAUCUCAUUCUAGACAAAGGCACCAAAAACAUUCAUUGGAGAAAAGAAAGCCAAUUCAACAAAUGGUGCUGGGAAAAUUGGAAAUCCAUAUGUAGCAAAAUAAAAUUAAACCCCUACCUCUCAUCCUGCACAAAAACAAACUCAAAAUGGGUCAAAGAUAAGGCACUACAACAGAGACCCUUUGCCUAAUAGAAGAAAAAGUAGAAUCAAAUAAUUACCAUGUCAGCUUAGGAACUAACUUCCUUAACAAGACUGUUAAAGUGUAAGAAAUAAAAUAAAGAAUCAAUACAAAGAUGGAUUCAAAUUAAAAAGCUUCUUCUCAGCAAAGGAAAUAAUCAAUAAUGUUAAGAGAGAGCCUGCAGGAUGGGAGAAAAUCUUUAUCACGCACACCUCAGAUAGAGCAUUAAUCUUCAGGAUAUAUAAAGAACUAAAAAAACUCAAUAUCAAAAAAACACAAACAAAUAACCCAAUCAAUAAAUGAGCUAAGGAACUGAACAGACACUUCACAAAAGAAGAAAUACAAUUGAUCAACAAACAAAUGAAAAAAUGUUCAUCAUCUCUUGCAAUUAAAGAAAUGCACAUCAAAACUACUCUAAGAUUUCAUCUCAUGCCAGUCAGAAUGGCAAUUAUCAAGAAUACAAGCAACAAUAAAUAUUGGCAAGGAUGUGGAGGAAAAGGUAUAUUCAUACAUUGCUGGUAGGACUGCAAAUUGGUGCAACUAUUAUGGAAAGCAGUAUGGAGAUUCCUUGGAAAACUUAGAAUGGAACCACAAUUUGACCCAGCUAUCCCCACUCCUCAGUUCAUAUCCAAAGGACUUAAAAUUAGCAUACUACAGUGAUGCAGCCACAUCAAUGUUUAUAGCAGCUUAAUUCACAAUAGCCAAACUAUGGAACUAACCUAGAUGUCCUUCAACAGAUGAAUGGAUAAAGAAAAUGUGAUAUCUAUACACAAUGGAGUAUUACUCAUUCUUAAAGAAGAAUAAAAUUAUGGCAUUUGCUGGUAAAUACAUGGAACUGGAGAAUAUUAUGCUAAGUGAAAUAAGCCAAUUCCAAAAAACUGAAAGCUGAAUGUUUUCUCUGAUGUAAGCAUGCUAAUUCACAAUAAGGUGGGAGGGCUACAGAAGAAUAGGGGUACUUUGGAUUAGGCAAAGGGGAGUGAAGUGAGGGGAGGGGACAUUGGGAUAGAAAGGAUAGUAGAAUGAAUCUGACAUUAUUACCCUAUGUACAUAUAUGAGUACAUGACCGGUGUAAUUCCACAUCAUGUACAACCAGAAAAAUGAUAAGUUAUACUUCAUUUAUGUAUGAUGUGUCAAAGAGCAUUCUACUAUCAUGUAGAAUAAUUAGAUCAAAGAAAAAAUAUAUAUAUAUCACUAAAAAAAUCCUUGAAUGAUAGACUUCUUCCUAAAGGAAUGGGAGUAACUGAGUGAUUAAGCUAUCAAUUUCUUUGAUAACCAUUGCUGUAGUACCUCUUAUGUACCAGGUUCUUUGCUGGAAUUCAGAAAUUCAGGAAAAAUAAGAUAGUGUUCCUGCAUUUGGGGUACGUACAUCUGAGUGGGGAAAUCUCUAUACACAAAUAAUAGACCAAAUUAUUGUGUACUGGUAUACCCUUAGACUGAAGAUAAUAAGAACUUUAAAUAAAUAUCUAAGCCUAGUAAGUUGAGUCUUUUAUCACAAUUGUAUGUGUCAGAAGUUGUAAGAAUGUUUUUAGUAUAUUCUGAGAUUAAACAAAUAUACAGAAUAAUAGGACCAUAUUUCUCACUGUCAAAGAAAGGUAGAUUGCAUUAGAAUUGGAGGUAACACUAUGAACUCACUUCAGGCAUAUAUAAAUAAAUCUAUUUUAUCUAUUCUUGGGUUUUCUAAACAGUAAAUAAGAAAUAGAUGUAUAGCUAAUAUAUACAUAUGUCUGAAAAUGUAUAGAUAUAGAAAGAAAAUAUACCUACAUGAAUAUAGGUGUAUGUAUACAUUUGUGUAUACAGAUGUCUAUUUCUAAUGCUUACUUGGAAGAUCUAGAAGUUCUAAUAUCCUCAUAGUAAUGGGCACACCUGAUGCCCAGAUAUUCAUUUCCAAAUACCACCCAUUCUCCACCAAAGAAAUAAGGACCAUAUGGAGAAUGGAUGAUCUCAUGGCUAGUGAAGGAAAGUUCAAGAUGAAUCUAGAAUAUCUUCUUGUGCAAUAAAUUAAGAAAAUUCUCAAAGAAUAAGGACACCAAAGGAAGUUUGAGGUAUCCACCAUUGCCACAUUUUGGAUAAUUUGAGUAUCAAAAUAAACAAUAUUUACAAAUAACCUAUUAAAUAAAAUGGGAAUCUAUAAGUUCAUAAUGGUAUAAAUGAAUGAAUGAGGGAGAAAGCUAUUACUUUAUAGAAUACCAUGAAACAUGGUAGGAAUAAAAGAGCUUUAAAAGUCACAAACAUUUUUGUAAUGAUUGAUGCAGCAGAUCAAUAGAUGCUAGAACUAGUUAGCAAAGUUUGACAAGACAAAGUUAUCUUCUUAACAUCAAAAUAUCUUUUCUUAUGCUACAUAUUAAUAACAAAGGGAAAUGAUGAAUUUAAAAAGGAGAAACUGGCAAACAAACACUUUCUGAUCCUUGUAUUGCAGCUCAACAUUCCCAGUUUUGGGACAUACUAGACACCGUGUGUCUACUAAGUAAGCAGGACUUAACAUGUCAUCAUGAGGCUCCUCAAAAACGUUUCAGCUCACUGUUGUCCUGAGCCAAUGUCACACAUCCCUGGGUUAUAUUUUCCUCUUUCAAGUUCUCAUAUUAUACUGUGAAUAUUUCUAGUACUGUGUUUAUUAUAUGCAGGAUAAAUAUGUAUUAAUUGGAUUUGCAUCCUCAAGGACUGUGGUUCUUAGGACCAGGGACAGAGUAUUAUUUAUCUUCCUGAACUCUAUACCAUCUUCCUACAUAUUGACUCCAUAAUCACAUCUAUUAAACUAUUUCAGGUACUUAUUUACAUGACCUUUUCUCUUGUUUUAGUGAGAAAAUCCAAUGGUGGCUUAAACAAGAAAGCCCCUUCAUUUCCCUAUAGAAAAUUAGGUCUGAACAUAGGCAGUGACAUAGCAGUUCAGUGAUGUUGGCACUAGUGGGCAUCUCAAUAACAACCAGUUAUCUCCAUCUCAAGAAAGCUGCCAUAGCUCCAAACACCAUGGUCUGUCCUUAAUGGGGGUCCCAAGAAGUAAGAGUACCUUUUAUCAUGAGGACAAUUCUUCCCUAAGUUCCCAGUAGGCUUCCAAUUAAGUUUCAAUCACAUGCUCACUCCUCAACAAAUUAAAAAUCAUUCCCUCUGGGCAGAUGCACCACUAUCUAGACAAAAUUGAGAUUCUGAUAAUAAGAAAGGUGGGGCUCUAUUGAACAGGCAUCACUAGGCCAGCCAUUCUCCCCCAUUAUAUAAAGUAUGUUCAUGCCAAAUUAUGCCAUUAUACAUGAGCUCUCUUAUUUUUUUUUGCAUACAAUUCUUAAUACACCUUUAUACCACAAUUUAUCAUAUCUUCUUUAUUAUAACUUCUUGAAUUUCAGAGACUGAUUCUUAUUCAUUUUCCUUUUGUACUUCCACAGUAUAGCACAACACCUGACAAGAGGUGCUCAGUAAAUAUUUGUUGAAAAAAUGGAAAUGACCAAGUAUGGAAUAUUUUUAAAAUGAUCACCAUGGAGAAGUCACAAAUUUAUAAAAUUUUACAGAUUCUUAUAAUCUCAGAUCCUGGCUGCUAACUCUCAACUCCCCUCACUCGAGAUAAAUAGAAGAGAAGCAUGAAAUCCUAAAGGGUUUUCAUUUGGGGGUGGCUAAUCUGGGGUUAGUAAGAUCAAACAUGAGAACUUGAUAGCAGAGAGGCUGGUGCAUCUGUUUAAAAGCUUUGCAUUUUAAAAUAUCAACAGUUGAGCUUACACAUAGCAAGAACUGGACAGGGAGGCAGGCUUCAGGAGUUGUCUAUGAAGUCACUGAAGACUCAGCUGUCAGUUCCAGGCUCACACAACCAGAGGAGACAAAAGAAACUAGCUCUUCUUGUUUUUAGGACCAAGGAAAUCCUUCUCCAAGGCACAUGCUAGAGGUUCUUCUUUUUUUUUUUUUCUUACAUACAUGACAAUAGUGGAGUGCAUUACAUUUAUAAUUAUCCAUUCACAGCACAAUUUUUCAUAACUCUGUAUAUAAAGUAUGUUCAUGCCAAAUUAUGCCAUUAUACAUGAGCUCUCUUAUUUUUUUUUGCAUACAACUCUUACUACACCUUUGUAACACAAUUUGUCAUAUCUCUGUUUGUAUAUAAGGUAUGUUGACACCAAGUUCACAUCUUCAUACAUGUAUUUUGUAUAAUGAUGACUGUCUUUUUCCACCAUCCUUGCUAUUCCCAUUCUCCCUCCCUUUCCCUCCCACCCCUACUCCCUAUCUAGAGGUAAUUUUCCUCCCAUGCUCUCCCUCCCUGCCCCACUUUGAGUCACCCCCCUUAUAUCAGAGAAAACAUUCAGCAUUUGUUUUUCGGGAUUGGAUGCUAGAGGCAGAUGGAUGGCAGAUUUGGUCACAUCCCCUUUCCUAAGCUAGGAAAGGAAGCAGGAUCCAUCAGUAUGACCUGGUUAGAGUAACUAUUCAGGGUGGGAUGGAUGUUGGAGAGGAAAUUAUAUGGCUACGGGUCUGAGUCAGGAGUUGGUGCCACAGAGUAGGUUAAGAGGUUUCAAAACUUGAACUUUUUAUUGACUAUGGCAAAUAAUUGUUAUGACAGUAGGAUGUAAGAGAGAUUUUGAAGAAAGGAAUCAUUAAUUUAAUACAGGAGAGGGGGAUCAAGUGAGAGGGAGGAAUCAGAAAGGCUUUUGAGGUUGAAUUUCUUUUCAAAAUUGAUCUAUAGCAACAAGACAAAGAAGGGGAGCCACUUACUAUUUCCAGAAAGUUGGAAACUAUUCCCAGACUUAAAGUUCAGCUGUGGUUAACAAUGAACAAACAAACAAAACUCAAAGUAACCAGCAGAAUGCAGGACGCAGAGCAUUUUAUUAUGUGGUUUGAAAGGGGUCAGGUCAGCAAAGAACACAUAUGCAACAAAUUCCUCUUGUGGCCUCCAACCACUUUAUCUCCCAGAAGUCUGAAAAAGUGAUAAGGACAAGUUAUCCUACCCCUAAUUUUGAUCAAUCAGGACAAACUAGUUGGAUAAGAGCAUAGCCAGUAGGGAGAAAGUAACCGCUUCAGAUUUUGAGAAAAUGGAGGAAAAGUAGCAGCUCAGUAAGUCACUAUUACCAGGGGCACAAUUUUCAAAGUUUAGCAUAAAAAAAAUAAACAAAGAAACCAACAAACAAAUAAAAUAGAAGGUUGGAAAAUGUAGAGGAGCAAGGUUUGUUUUGGCUAACAGUUUCACAAGUUCAGUCCCUGGCUGGCCAACUCCAUAGCUCCUGACAUCAAAGAAGGAGCAAGAGAUCUCUGCUCACCAAGGACAAAAUAAAACUCCCAAAGCACAUCCCCAGUCACUACUUCCAUAAUUCCAUUUUUGAGGUAAUUCUCCUAGACAUGCAUAGAAAGUUCCACCAGGAGAGAAAAUCUGAAAUCUCCUAUCCUCACCAAGCCUGCCCCUACUUAUCUCCCCAAACAUAACAACUGGAAUGUUCCAGAAAAAACAUUCUAUAAAGUUUUUUUUAAGUUAAAGGCUAAAAAAGAUGCACAAAAAAUUAGAUAUCUAUCAAAAUUAGAGGUUUAAAUACAAUAUAAACUGAUGACAGAAUCAAAAUAGCACAUAUUUAAUUUCCCCCUUUCCUCCUUUCGUCUCUCUUUUUAUAUUUCUUAUCUCCUCAUCUUUUCUUUGUGUCUUUUUUCCCCCAUCAAAUAGGAAGACUGAAGCUUCUGGUCUGAGAGAACCGAAGAUCUAGCCAAGAGAAGAGCUGGCCCACCUCCCUGGCUGAUCUGAAUGAAUCAACUUGGGGCCAUGGUGAAUUUAUCUGGGGGAGCUGGGAAGACCCAGCGAUGACAUAGUGGAAAUGCUUCUCAGUAUGUUAAAGGAAUGUUGGCAAUGAAAGGGAAUCAGUUUCCAGUUUCCAAAAGAUGGGUCAAUGUGGAUGCCCAAGUAACAGUCACUGCAAAUGGAACUUGAGCAAACAUCUAGAAUCAAUUAUUAAAGAUGUGAGUGACAGGACAAGAAGAUUUAGAGAGCCAAGUUGUCCUAGACCAACCUCAUCCUCUUUUCUGACAGGCUUGCUGAAACAGAAUCAAUAAGGAAAACUGUGGACAUGAUGGGUCCAGAUUUCAAGAGAUAGUGGACAAUUAUAUUCUUGCAGAAAAGUGGAGAAUAUGGUCUCAGUGCAAAGAGAUGCAUGUGGCUUUCUAACUAGCAGGGCCAGCAUAGGCAAAGGGUACUGAAGACUGGUCCACUUUGACGGAUAGUAAGAUCUGGAAAGUGGUGUCCAGGGAGGCAUCAUCUACCUCAUCUCACUUAACAAGGACAUAGAUGGCAGAUGAUUUGGGCCUUAUCUGACAAACUUUUUUUUUAAGAGAGAAAAUUUUAAUAUUCCAAGUGUG